rnacentral:lncRNA from 1 species
GAGGGUCCUAAAGCUCCCUAAUACUUCAUAUGUCCUGUCUAGCUUAGAUACAGUGGCUUCCUACGUUUACUACUUUUCCUAAUACUUCUUAUAAUCUGAGCGAGACACAUAAGAGUGACACCUGGUGGAAGUCUCUCCCCGACCAUGACAAAAUCCUGGUACCAGCUCCUUCAUGACCCUAAUAUCCAUACCAAUAUCUUCCAGGGUCCCAGAAGUGGAUGGUCUGUAUGACUCUAACUCCUCAACUGUCGACUUGCCCAAGUUAAUCUUUCUCUUUUUCCUCUUUCCAGGUGUACCCUCUACCUGAAUCUUUAGUGAGUGGGAGUACCAAAGUUUUAUCCGAGUAUUCCACCACCCCUGAUCUCUUGUACAACUCAGUAAUAAAAGAAGGGAAUAAGAUAUGUAUACCAACAUUGUUCCUGUAGUACUUCAUAUCGGUUAUCA